GUGCACCAGGCGCGAAACCUCCACAAUGCGCGAAAGCGUGAUGGGGAGGUCUGAGUGCCAUCUCUACAAGGGGAUGGCUUUGUCGAGCCUAAAAGACUCGGCGAAUAAGGGCUGGGUAAGACCGGUGCCAGCCGCCGCGGUAACACCGGCAGCUCGAGUGGUGGCCGCUAUUAUUGGGCCUAAAGCGUUCGUAGCCGGGCAGGCAAGUGUUCUGGUAAAUCCCAUAACUUAAUUAUGGGACUUCAGAAUAUACUGCCUGCCUUGAGACCGGGAGAGGCUGGAGGUACUUUCGGGGUAGGGGUAAAAUCCCAUAAUCCCGAAGGGACCACCGGUGGCGAAGGCGUCCAGCCAGAACGGGUCUGACGGUAAGGGACGAAACCCAGGGGAGCGAGCCGGAUUAGAUACCCGGGUAGU
rnacentral:rRNA from 1 species